rnacentral:rRNA from 1 species
GACGUAGGAUGCGAGCGUUGUCCGGAAUCAUUGGGCGUAAAGAGUUCGUAGGUGGCAUAUCAAGUCUGGUGUUAAAGCCCGGAGCUCAACUCCGGUUCGGCACUGGAUACUGGUAAGCUAGAGUGCAGUAGAGGCAAGGGGAAUUCCCAGUGUAGCGGUGAAAUGCGUAGAUAUUGGGAGGAACACCGGUGGCGUAAGCGCCUUGCUGGGCUGUUACUGACACUGAGGAACGAAAGCCAGGGGAGCAAAUGGG